CAGUCGCCGCGGUAAUACAGAGGGUGCGAGCGUUAAUCGGAUUUACUGGGCGUAAAGCGUGCGUAGGCGGCUUUUUAAGUCGGAUGUGAAAUCCCUGAGCUUAACUUAGGAAUUGCAUUCGAUACUGGGAAGCUAGAGUAUGGGAGAGGAUGGUAGAAUUCCAGGUGUAGCGGUGAAAUGCGUAGAGAUCUGGAGGAAUACCGAUGGCGAAGGCAGCCAUCUGGCCUAAUACUUACGCUGAGGUACGAAAGCAUGGGGAGCAAACAGGAUUAGAUACCCCAGUAGUCCCUGUCUCUUAUAC
rnacentral:rRNA from 1 species